rnacentral:lncRNA from 1 species
CUCGCCUAAUGACUUGGCAUUCAUGACAGCAGGUGUUCAUGAAGGGAGUUCAGGAAGUUGAGGAACCCUUCCUCAAAGGGGUAUGGGGAACAGAGUUCAUUCACCAUGUUGUUCUCUUUCUUUUGACAGGUCCUUUGCUAUCCUUUGAGCAUGAGCCAGACCUCUGAGAAUACCAAGAAGAAAAAGAAUAAUUACAAUGAGUAUUUCAGAGAUUCUGCUGUCAGAUGCUUUUCUGCUUUUACACGGGCUCAAUCCUGACACGACUGACUUCAGUAAAGACCUGCCAGCCUCAAACAACACCCUCUUUCUUCGCAUUAGAAAUGGAAACACGUCCUCUGCAGGAAUUUUCCACUUAAUAGCUCCUGCUUUCCUACCGGGGGCCUCAGUGCACCACCACUGCAAUGCUGUAUUUCUUUCCACUGCAGUUUGACAUUUUGCAGCCAGAACAACGAACGGCAUUCACUCCAUCCUGAUUUUUGAAAAACAUAUCUCUAUAGGCCCACAGAACACACCCAGUGCAGCAAUCACCAGGGGAAAAUGGCAAAGGUAUUUAAACAUCAUUACAUGUCACUGAGACUAUGACAUUGUCUGGUAAAAAUGCUCUUUUAUACAGUUGCUUUUCCUUACUCCCCAUUCCUCCCCCCUCCAACCCUUUAUAGAUACACACACACAGACACCAAACCUCUGCCCUGCUCUCCCACCCCCAGCCAGUCUCUUGUUUUACACUCGGUUGUAAUUGUUUGCCAUUGAGAAUUAUUUCCUUUACAUAAUAUUUGCAAACUGUGUAUCAGGUCCUGACACUGUGAGGAGCAGAAAAGCACAUUGCAGAUAAUCUGAGCAGUAAACAAGGAGCCUGCUUUAAAAUGUGCUGAGUGACCUGUCUGAAGGCAGCAAUAUUUGCAGAUUGUUUACUGCUGAGAUGCAGGGAUGUUGCUGAAAUGCAGCAGCUUGAAGAUUGGAGCAAAAUGGGAUCUCAGACACUCGGUCAAGCACAACCUGUAUUUUUUUUAUUUAUUGUUUGUCUUCUGCUUUUUUUAAAGUUAGAGCUGUAUUAUAAAUUAUUAAAAGCUAUUUUCAAA